rnacentral:lncRNA from 1 species
ACUUAAUGGGACUUUCAACAAAAGGCUUAAACAAGGAAUCAUGUUGUUCAACAACCAAAAUUAUGCAAAUUUCUAUAUUUCCAUUCAUCUAGAGAUAACAUGGUAUCUAAAUUCUAAAGUUCAUCAUCAACAUAUCAUUCAUGAAAGCAUGCUAUAUUAUGGUACUAGAAUUUCAUAAUCAAAAUUCUAUCUUAAUUUAAACAUGAAGCUUUAUCAUGAAAGCAUGCUAUAUUAUGGUACUAGAAUUUCAUAAUCAAAAUUCUAUCUUAAGUUAAUCAUGAAGCUUUAUAACAUAGAUUUCAUGAACUUCCAAAUGAUCCAAUAC